rnacentral:lncRNA from 1 species
GAGCUGCCGCCGCACCCCACCGUGCCGGAGCUCCCAAAGCCUGAGCUGCCUCCACACCCUACCGUGCCAGAGCACUCAAAGCCUGAACUGCCACCGCACCCCACCGAGCCAGAGCACCCGAAGCAGCCUGAACUGCCACCGCACCCUACCUUGCCGUAGUUGCCCAAGCCUGAACUGCCACCGCACCCCACCGUGCCGGAGCACCCAAAGCCGGAGCUGCCGCACCCGGAGCUGCCGAAGCCUGAAAUGCCGCCUCAUCCCGAAGUACCGGAGCUGCCAAAGCCAGAAGCGCCUCACGUGCCGGAGGUGCCGAAGCCGGAGGGCCACUAACCGGUGCCAGAGGCCAAGCCAUGAUCGAGCUACACCCGUGUUGCCCCAGUAAUAAAAUACGUUCUGUACUUGUGUGUAUCUGAGAUGUCGCAGUAGGAGCCUGACGUUCAGGGUUGUACGUUGUGCUACUUUGAUUUGUCGGUUGAUGAUGUUACCCGUGUAUUGCUUUUGGCGUAUGAUAUAUAUACAUGUAUUAUUUCAUUACAUUAUUAUGGUCUCUUAUUAUAUAAUCCUUCCAUUUGUAAUUU